rnacentral:rRNA from 1 species
CAGAAGGGAGCUUGCUCCUGGAAGUCAGCGGCGGACGGGUGAGUAACACGUGGGCAACCUGCCCUUUAGAUUGGGAUAACUUCGGGAAACCGAAGCUAAUACCGAAUAAUACAAGGAACCACCUGGUUCUUUGUUGAAAGAUGGCCUUCGUGCUAUCACUAAAGGAUGGGCCCGCGGCGCAUUAGCUAGUUGGUAAGGUAACGGCUUACCAAGGCGACGAUGCGUAGCCGACCUGAGAGGGUGAUCGGCCACACUGGGACUGAGACACGGCCCAGACUCCUACGGGAGGCAGCAGUAGGGAAUCUUCCGCAAUGGACGAAAGUCUGACGGAGCAAUGCCGCGUGAGUGAGGAAGGCCUUCGGGUCGUAAAGCUCUGUUGUGAGGGAAGAACAAGUACCGGCAUAACUACCGGUACCGUGACGGUACCUCACCAGAAAGCCACGGCUAACUACGUGCCAGCAGCCGCGGUAAUACGUAGGUGGCAAGCGUUGUCCGGAAUUAUUGGGCGUAAAGCGCGCGCAGGCGGCUUCUUAAGUCUGAUGUGAAAUCUCGGGGCUCAACCCCGAGCGGCCAUUGGAAACUGGGAAGCUUGAGUACAGAAGAGGAGAGUGGAAUUCCACGUGUAGCGGUGAAAUGCGUAGAUAUGUGGAGGAACACCAGUGGCGAAGGCGACUCUCUGGUCUGUAACUGACGCUGAGGCGCGAAAGCGUGGGGAGCAAACAGGAUUAGAUACCCUGGUAGUCCACGCCGUAAACGAUGAGUGCUAGGUGUUAGGGGUUUCGAUGCCCGUAGUGCCGAAGUAAACACAUUAAGCACUCCGCCUGGGGAGUACGACCGCAAGGUUGAAACUCAAAGGAAUUGACGGGGACCCGCACAAGCAGUGGAGCAUGUGGUUUAAUUCGAAGCAACGCGAAGAACCUUACCAGGUCUUGACAUCCUUUGACCACUCUGGAGACAGAGCUUCCCCUUCGGGGGCAAAGUGACAGGUGGUGCAUGGUUGUCGUCAGCUCGUGUCGUGAGAUGUUGGGUUAAGUCCCGCAACAAGCGCAACCCUUGAUCUUAGUUGCCAGCAUUUAGUUGG